GAGAGCCUGGCUUCUGAAUUAUCACCUGGAGGAAGACCACCCACCAGUUCAGAAUACCCACAGUGGGCUGCUGCACGAUCAAGAAAAAACAUGGAAAUUUGGAGGCUUAGGCUACAGUGUUGGCAAAAGUGAAAGUAACUUUAAACCUCAGGAGAUCAAAACACAAGGUGAAAAAAACGAAGUAACUAAAUUCUCACCUAAGCAACCAGUCUAA
rnacentral:lncRNA from 1 species